rnacentral:rRNA from 1 species
AUUGAACGCUGGCGGCAGGCCUAACACAUGCAAGUCGAGCGGGGUUUUCGGACCUAGCGGCGGACGGGUGAGUAAUGCGUAGGAAGCUACCCGAUAGAGGGGGAUACCAGUUGGAAACGACUGUUAAUACCGCAUAAUGUCUACGGACCAAAGUGUGGGACCUUCGGGCCACAUGCUAUCGGAUGCGCCUACGUGGGAUUAGCUAGUUGGUGGGGUAAUGGCUCACCAAGGCGACGAUCCGUAACUGGUCUGAGAGGAUGAUCAGUCACACUGGAACUGAGACACGGUCCAGACUCCUACGGGAGGCAGCAGUGGGGAAUAUUGGACAAUGGGCGAAAGCCUGAUCCAGCCAUGCCGCGUGUGUGAAGAAGGUCUUCGGAUUGUAAAGCACUUUAAGUUGGGAGGAAGGGUUGUAGAUUAAUACUCUGCAAUUUGACGUUACCGACAGAAUAAGCACCGGCUAACUCUGUGCCAGCAGCCGCGGUAAAGUCGUACG